UACGUAGGGAGCGAGCGUUAUCCGGAUUUACUGGGUGUAAAGGGUGCGUAGGCGGUUUGUUAAGUCAGAAGUGAAAUUUAGGGGCUCAACCUCUAAGCUGCUUCUGAAACUGAUGAACUAGAGUGUGGGAGAGGAAAGUGGAAUUCCGAGUGUAGCGGUGAAAUGCGUAGAGAUUCGGAGGAACACCAGUAGCGAAGGCGGCUUUCUGGACCAUAACUGACGCUGAGGCACGAAAGCGUGGGGAGCAAACAGGAUUAGAUACC
rnacentral:rRNA from 1 species